rnacentral:lncRNA from 1 species
UAUGUAUGUACAUUAUAUGUAUGUAUGUAUGUAUGCAUUGAUGUAUGUAUGUGUUGCAUGUAUGUAAACUUAAGAUUCAUCAUUAUAUGUUGCUGCCAUCCAAAAUCCUCUUUGGUAAAAGCGGCUAAGACCACGAAAUACAGGCAUAGGGGAUAGUGAGACCAUCCUAAUACACAGUGUUGAAAAUAGAAGUGGCAAACGGGUCA